rnacentral:lncRNA from 1 species
AAAGAGCAGGUGGAAGCUGCCCUGGAGGAAAGAAAGGAGUCAGAAAACUGGUGGAAACAUCGACCAGGUUGAUCCUCAGGCAGCGAAGGAGGUCGAGGAGACCCAAGUUUUGGACCUGCAGAUAGUUCCAGAGUCUGGCGUUCUUGCAGAAGUCCACGCAGUGACACUGGAGGUUUUAUAUACUCCAAUAGUGGAGAACACUCCUGAAGAAAUGGAGGAAGUCCUCCAAACCUCUACAUCUUUGAGGGAUGAGGUGGAGAAGAACUGUGAGCAGCUCCUCGUGAAUGAUGCAGAUGUCAUCAUUGAGGUCCUUGAGGUGCUGGAGGAUGAUGUGGUCACAGUUAGUGUCGAGCCAGUUGGUGAUCAGGUGAUCAUCAUUGUGGAUGAGGCUGGAAUUAAUAAGCAGGAGACCACAGCAGGGCUUGUGGUUGAGCUGCUGAAAGAAGUUGAGAGGGUCAAUGGUCGGCCUAUUGAUUUUAAAGCAGGAAUUCAAAUUCUGCCUGCUGAUGAUAUUGAUGAGGAUGCUGACGAUCAGGCCACAGAGCAGCUCGUCUCCAUCAUCUCAGAAAUCUAG